CCCGGUGGUCGGAUUGGCGAC
rnacentral:snRNA from 1 species